CCGAGGGUCUGGUCACUACCACUGCCGCUGCUCUUGGAGGCCCUACGGCAGGGGCUGUAGGCCACCGCCCGAAAAGCGGAUGAUGCGGAAGGUCUUUCGUCUUGAGAUGCUACAGUUCCACUUAAAUGCUGGAAACCAGCAGGGAGAUGCUGAAUAUAACUGAGGAAAUGUUUGGUGAUGCCACAUCAUGGUGUUUAGAGGGGACAUACAGUUUUGGACUCCUGGUGAACAGGCUCAACUGCUAAACCAAAAGGUUGGAGGUUUGAGACCACCGAGAAAUACCUCAGAAGAAAAGUCCAGUUAUCUGCUUCUCAAAA